AGCGGUAGCACAGAAGAGCUUGCUCUCUGGGUGACGAGCGGCGGACGGUUGAGUAAUGUCUGGGAAACUGCCUGAUGGAGGGGGAUAACUACUGGAAACGGUAGCUAAUACCGCAUAACGUCGCAUGACCAAAGUGGGGGACCUUCGGGCCUCACGCCAUCGGAUGUGCCCAGAUGGGAUUAGCUAGUAUGUGGGGUAAUGGCUCACCUAGGCGACGAUCCCUAGCUGGUCUGAUAGGAUGACCAGCCACACUGGAACUGAGACACGGUCCACACUCCUACGGGAGGCAUCAGUGGGGAAUAUUGCACAAUGGGCGCAAGCCUGAUGCAGCCAUGCCGCGUGUGUGAAGAAGGCCUUCGGGUUGUAAAGCACUUUCAGCGAGGAGGAAGGCAGCAAGGUUAAUAACCUUGUUGAUUGACGUUACUCGCAUAAGAAGCACCGGCUAACUCCGUGCCAGCAGCCGCGGUAAUACUGAGGGUGCAAGCGUUAAUCGGAAUGACUGGGCGUAAAGCGCACGCAGGCGGUUUGUUAAGUUGGAUGUGAAAUCCCCGGGCUUAACCUGGGAACUGCAUUCAAAACUGGCAAGCUAGAG
rnacentral:rRNA from 1 species